ensembl:lncRNA
AAGCUUUCAUAUAAAUGGCUAGGAGUGGACGGACACAAUUGCUAGUAUUUCUUACACUUCCAAAGUUACCUUGAGAGUUUAUGAUUACUGUGUGUCACUAGAACAGCAGAAGGCGUGCAUACCAGGAUUUGUUGUUUCAUCUGAUAGCCUGGACUUGCUAAGAAAAAAAAAGAGAAGAGAAGAGAAGAGAAGAGAAGAGAAGAGAAGAGAAGAGAAGAGAAGAGAAGAGAAGAGAAGAGAAGAGAAGAGAAGAGAAGAGAAGAGAAGAGAAGAGAAGAGAAGAGAAGAGAAGAGAAGAGAAGAGGAGAAGAGAAGAGAAGAGAAGAGAAGAGAAGAGAAGAAAAGAAGCGAAAAGAAAAGAAAAGAAGUGAAAAGAAAAGAAAAGAAAAGAAAAGAAAAGAAAAGAAAAGAAAAGAAAAGAAGUGAAAAGAAAAGAAAAGAAAAGAAAAGAAAAAAGAAAGGAAAAGAAAAGAAAAGAAAAGAAGCGAAAAGAAAAGAAAAGAAGCGAAAAGAAAAGAAGCGAAAAGAAAAGAAAAGAAAAGAAAAGAAAAGAAAAGAAAAGAAAAGAAAAGAAAAGGAAAGAAAAGAAAAGAAAAGAAGAGAAAAGAAAAGAAGAGAAAAGAAAAGAAGCGAAAAGAAAAGAAAAGAAAAGAAAAAUAAGCCCUUAAUAUAGCAAUUCACUUUCUGGGAACUGUUGUUUAGAGCUAAAUUCCAGCUUUCUUAUGUAUUCUAGGAAUUGUAAUUUGCUAUAUGAGUGCUUGCAAAUCAGUAAACAGGUCUGUUUGUUUGCUGUACGGGGAUCAUUGCCAGGAAACUUUACACUCAGUACACUUGGUCUGAAACUCAGUUCAAAGAAUCAUGAGAAAAAUCACCCAGGAAUGUAUACGUAGGAAAAAAUUCCAAGUUGAUGUAGAUUCUGAAAGGUAAUCAGAUCUUCAGCUUGGUUUUGGAAUAGACGUUACCCUAACAGCACACUGCUGAAAAGAGCCUGGCCCCAUCCAUUGGGCUCCCACGCUUUAGAUAUUUAUAAACAGUGACGAGAUCCCUCUCAGUCUUCUCCAGGCUGAACAGUCCCAGUUCUCUCAGCCUUUUCUCAAAUAGGAGAUGCUCCAGGACUCCUGUAUCUUUGCGACCCUCCACUGGACUCUCUCUAGAAGUUCCCUUUCUUUAUUGAACUGAGGAGCUCAGAACUGGACCCAGCACUGCAGAUGUGGCCUCACCAGGGCAUAGUAGAGGGGUAGGAUCACCUCCCUCGACCUGCUGACUGAGCUUUUUUUUAAGGCACCCCAGGAUACCACUGGACUUCUUGGCCACAAGGGCACACUGCUGGCUCAUGGCCAACCUGCUGUUCACCAAGACACCCAGAUCCUUCUCUGCAGAGCUCCUUUCCAGAAGGUCAGUCCCUCACCUGUACUGACCAGCGUGGUUAUUCUUCCCCAGGUGGAGGACUCUACACUUGCUCUUGUUAAACCUCAUCAGGUUCCUUUCUGUCCAACUCUCCAGUCUGUCCAGGUCAUGUUAAAUGGCAGCACAGCCUUCAGGUGUGUCAUCCACUCCUCUCAGUUUCAUAUUGUUAGCAGACUUGCUGAGGGUGCCCUAUAUCCCUUCAUCCAGAUCACUGAUGAAGAUGUUGAACAAGAUUGGGCCCAAUGCCGAUGCAAUGCAGAAUUUUCCAUAUUGAAGACUGUGCAGUAUGUUUUGAAUUCAUGGGACUUUAGUAAGACUGCAUCAAGACUGUUAUUCAAAAGGGUCUAGGACAGUUAAUGUAUUCUACUGGGGAGAAACCAUUUUGGAUUAAUUUUUUUGUGAUCACCAGCUUAAAUGAGAUUUUUGUAAAUUCAUACUCACUUCAGUUUAGGUGUGGGUCUUUAUUUAUACUUGACUGCUCCACAUUUUCAGUGAGGUCUUGCAACGCAUUAUAAGAAAGGAUUUGCAAGUUGGCAAUAAGUUGAAGUGUUAAGGCAAAGAAGGGGAAACCUCAACUUUGACCACAUGGGGGAAGUAGGAGUAGAGGAAAUCAGAACAUCUCUGGCCAGCGUUUCCCCGCGCCCUCAGAAAGCCCAAAGGUGGGGAGUGACUCCUUACAGUGUCAUUGCUUUUUUCUUUUGACUUUUUCUGUUUAUCUUAAUGAACUGCUAAAUUUUCUAGCCUCCUUAUUUUCUUCAUUUUCAAAUAUGAG